AACUACUCGAAAGAGUAGCUAAUACCGCAUACGAUCUGAGGAUGAAAGCGGGGGACCUUCGGGCCUCGCGCGAUUGGAGCGGCCGAUGGCAGAUUAGGUAGUUGGUGGGAUAAAAGCUUACCAAGCCGACGAUCUGUAGCUGGUCUGAGAGGACGACCAGCCACACUGGGACUGAGACACGGCCCAGACUCCUACGGGAGGCAGCAGUGGGGAAUUUUGGACAAUGGGCGAAAGCCUGAUCCAGCAAUGCCGCGUGCAGGAUGAAGGCCUUCGGGUUGUAAACUGCUUUUGUACGGAACGAAAAAGCUCCUUCUAAUACAGGGGGCCCAUGACGGUACCGUAAGAAUAAGCACCGGCUAACUACGUGCCAGCAGCCGCGGUAAUACGUAGGGUGCGAGCGUUAAUCGGAAUUACUGGGCGUAAAGCGUGCGCAGGCGGUUAUGUAAGACAGAUGUGAAAUCCCCGGGCUCAACCUGGGAACUGCAUUUGUGACUGCAUGGCUAGAGUACGGUAGAGGGGGAUGGAAUUCCGCGUGUAGCAGUGAAAUGCGUAGAUAUGCGGAGGACACCGAUGGCGAAGGCA
rnacentral:rRNA from 1 species